GCCUGGGUGGCUCAGUCAGUUAAGCGCCUGACUUCAGCUCAGGUCAUGAUCUCACAGUUUGUGAGUUCGAGCCCUGCAUCAGGCU
rnacentral:tRNA from 1 species